rnacentral:rRNA from 1 species
GCGCGAAACCUUUACAAUGCACGCAAGUGUGAUAAGGGAAUCCCCAGUGCUCACGUACUGCGUGGGCUUUUGCCAAGUGUAAAUAGCUUGGCGAAUAAGUGGUGGGUAAGACUGGUGCCAGCCGCCGCGGUAACACCAGCGCCACGAGUGGUAACCGCGAUUAUUGGGCCUAAAGCGUCCGUAGCCGGGUUGAUAAAUCCUUUGUGAAAUUGUGCGGCUCAACCGAACAACGUGCAAGGGACACUGUUAACCUCGAGACCGGGAGGAGUCAGAAGUAUUCCUGAGGGAGCGGUAAAAUGUUAUAAUCUCAGGAGGACUACCUGUGGCGAAGGCGUCUGACCAGAACGGAUCUGACGGUGAGGGACGAAAGCCAGGGGAGCGAACCGGAUUAGAUACCCGAGUAGUCCUGGCCGUAAACGCUGUGAGCUAGGUGUUGCACCAGCGACCUGCUGGUGCAGUGUCGAAAGGAAGCUGUUAAGCUCACCGCCUGGGAAGUACGGUCGCAAGACUGAAACUUUAAGGAAUUGG